UAAGGAAUAUUGGUCAAUGGAGGCAACUCUGAACCAGCCAUGCCGCGUGCAGGAAGAAGGCCCUAUGGGUCGUAAACUGCUUUUGAACAAGAGAAAACCCCGGUACGUGUACUGGGUUGAUAGUAUUGUUAGAAUAAGCAUCGGCUAACUUCGUGCCAGCAGCCGCGGUAAGACGAAGGAUGCAAGCGUUAUCCGGAUUCAUUGGGUUUAAAGGGUGCGUAGGCGGACUGAUAAGUCAGUGGUGAAAUCUCUCGGCUUAACCGAGAAACUGCCAUUUGAUACUGUUAGUCUAGAGUACAGAUGAUGUGGGCGGAAUAUGACAUGUAGUGGUGAAAUACUUAGAUAUGUCAUAGAACACCGAUUUGCGAAGGCAGCUCACAAAACUGUAACUGACGCUGAGGCACGAAAGUGCGGGGAUCAAACAGGAUUAGAUACCCAAGUAGUCCCUGAGCGGGCUGGCAAGGCGCAU
rnacentral:rRNA from 1 species